GACGAACGCUGGCGGCGUGCCUAAUACAUGCAAGUAGAACGCUGAAGGAGGAGCUUGCUUCUCUGGAUGAGUUGCGAACGGGUGAGUAACGCGUAGGUAACCUGCCUGGUAGCGGGGGAUAACUAUUGGAAACGAUAGCUAAUACCGCAUAAGAGUAGAUGUUGCAUGACAUUUGCUUAAAAGGUGCAAUUGCAUCACUACCAGAUGGACCUGCGUUGUAUUAGCUAGUUGGUGAGGUAGCGGCUCACCAAGGCGACGAUACAUAGCCGACCUGAGAGGGUGAUCGGCCACACUGGGACUGAGACACGGCCCAGACUCCUACGGGAGGCAGCAGUAGGGAAUCUUCGGCAAUGGACGGAAGUCUGACCGAGCAACGCCGCGUGAGUGAAGAAGGUUUUCGGAUCGUAAAGCUCUGUUGUAAGAGAAGAACGAGUGUGAGAGUGGAAAGUUCACACUGUGACGGUAUCUUACCAGAAAGGGACGGCUAACUACGUG
rnacentral:rRNA from 1 species